CAAAAGACUGGCUCAGACUCUCCUGACUUGGUGUGGUGUAACUCUUCUGAAAGAGAAAUUAAAUGGACAGAUGCCUCGUCCAGCACCGUUUACCGUGAUUGUGUGAGACGAGUGAGAGGAUCCAGGCCUUACGUGUGUGAUGAAGUCGCUGCUGUCGGAGCUGAAGAGGUCGAGGCUGCGUGUGCCGUACAGUAAACCCGGCUCUCUGGAGCUCUGAGCGCUCAGGGUGUCGAAGAUCUCCCCGAGCAGGUCCAUCUCCUCCGGGUCAGCCAGGAGGGACAGCUCAUCCUC